rnacentral:rRNA from 1 species
GUGGGGAAUUUUGGACAAUGGGGGAAACCCUGAUCCAGCCAUCCCGCGUGUGCGAUGAAGGCCUUCGGGUUGUAAAGCACUUUUGGCAGGAAAGAAACGUCGUGGGUUAAUACCCCGCGAAACUGACGGUACCUGCAGAAUAAGCACCGGCUAACUACGUGCCAGCAGCCGCGGUAAUACGUAGGGUGCAAGCGUUAAUCGGAAUUACUGGGCGUAAAGCGUGCGCAGGCGGUUCGGAAAGAAAGAUGUGAAAUCCCAGAGCUUAACUUUGGAACUGCAUUUUUAACUACCGGGCUAGAGUGUGUCAGAGGGAGGUGGAAUUCCGCGUGUAGCAGUGAAAUGCGUAGAUAUGCGGAGGAACACCGAUGGCGAAGGCAGCCUCCUGGGAUAACACUGACGCUCAUGCACGAAAGCGUGGGGAGCAAACAGGAUUAGAAACCCGAGUAGUCC